AUGGCCUGGAGCCCCGUCCUCCUUGCACGCCUCUGUCACUGCACAGGCUCCCAGUCCCAGCUCCUGCGGACACGGCCGCCCUCCCUCUGGGCGUCUCCGGGAACGACGGCCAGACUCACCUGCACCCUGAGCAGGGACAGCGGUGUGGGCGGCUCUAACAUCGACUGGAUCCAGCAGCGGCCAGGGAGCCCUCCCCGGUGUCUGCCGAGGUUCUCCUCAGACUCCGAGAAGCACCAGGGCUCCGGGGUCCCCGGCCGCUUCUCGGGCUGCAAAGACGCCUCGGCCAAGGCGGGGCUUCUGCGCAUCUCGGGGCUGCAGGCCGAGGCCGAGGCGGACUCUCCCUGGGCUACAGCUCACGGCAGUGGGCGCAGCUACCGCUCCUCACAGCCUCUCAGAGAAGGAGGAGGUGAGACGAAAACCAGAGAUCUUGUCUCUGAGCCUCUUUGA